rnacentral:rRNA from 1 species
CCUACGGGAGGCUGCAGUGGGGAAUAUUGGGCAAUGGGGGCAAGCCUGACCCAGCAACGCCGCGUGAGGGAAGAAGGUCUUCGGGUUGUAAACUUCUUUUCUCAGGGACGAAGCUAGCGACGGUGCCUGAGGAAGAAGCCACGGCGAACUUCGUGGCAGCAGCCGCGGUAAUACGAAGGUGGCAAGCGUUAUCCGGAUUUACUGGGUGUAAAGGGGGUGUAGGCGGAUAUGCAAGACAGAUGUGAAAACGCCGGGCUCAACCUGUGAACUGCCAUUGUGACUAUAGAUCUAGAGUAAUGGAGAGGAUAGCGGAAUACCUAGUGUAGAGGUGAAAUGCGUAGAUAUUAGGUAGAACACCGGUGGCGAAGGCGGCUAGCUGGACAGUAACUGACGCUGAGGCUCGAAAGCAUGGGGAGCAAACAGGAUUAGAUACCCCAGUAGUC